GCUUGCUUUGGCAACAUGUAUAUACCAAAAUUGGAAUGAUACAGAGAUUAGAAUGGCCCCUGUGCAAGGAUGACACACAUUUGUGCAGCAUUCUAUU
ensembl:snRNA U6 U6 spliceosomal RNA